GACGAACGCUGGCGGCAUGCCUAACACAUGCAAGUCGAACGGAGAACUCCUUCGGGGGUUCUUAGUGGCGAACGGGUGAGUAACGCGUAGGCAACCUGCCCUUUGGAUGGGGACAACAUUCCGAAAGGAGUGCCUAAUACCGAAUGUGACGAUUUUACCGCAUGGUUUAAUCGUGAAAGAUGGCCUCUACAUGUAAGCUAUCGCCAAAGGAUGGGCCUGCGUCUGAUUAGCUAGUUGGUGGGGUAACGGCUCACCAAGGCGACGAUCAGUAGCCGGUCUGAGAGGAUGAACGGCCACAUUGGGACUGAGACACGGCCCAGACUCCUACGGGAGGCAGCAGUGGGAAUCUUCGCAAUGGACGAAAGUCUGACGGAGCAAUGCCGCGUGAGUGAGUGAAGGUUUUCGGACCGUAAAGCGUCUUUGUUAUGACGAAUGUGCAUGAUGUGAACAAUG
rnacentral:rRNA from 1 species